UCAGCUAUACUUCAAUAAAAUAAAUAAAUAAAUAAACAUGAGUUAGCUCAGCUGUCAUCUUUGGGCUCUAACAGAGCCCCUGUACAACUUAGUUAUUUGUGUCGAAGUUGUGCAGGGGGGAUGGAGAUACGGCGAAGGCAGCAUGCCCAGGGCUGCCAGGAGGAGCAGAGUGGGCGUGGAAUCGUGGCGGUGCGUCUGGGGAGGAACACUGGACAUCACAGCAAAUGGAGUGUGACGGGCCCCACGGUUCAUCUCUCUCUGUGUCCCCACAGGCCACACCCUGACCUCUGCUCCUCCAGCCCCGAUCAGAAGACCGACUGCAACAUCUCAGACUGCUCCUGUUCCCACCUGGUGUGGGGCUCCCUCCCCUGCAGCCUGCCAAGUGUCCCCAGACCCCAGUCCUCUUGAGGAUCCUGCCUGGGGUCCUCAGGACCAGUGUCCCUGCCGCCUCCACUGGUCCUUCGGAUCAGCGAAGGGCCAAGAGGCUUCUCAGCCUCCCUUUUCCCGGAAGUGCGGAGACUCUCCAAGGAUCUGGCUGGGGAGGGGCGUGGUUAACUAGCCUGGUCCCGCCCACAUUUGUAGACCGCCAGCUCCACACACGAUGCGAGGCCUGCAGUGUGCAAUCUCAGCAAGGGACAGGUCAAGAGGAUGGGAACUUUGAAGGACCACAGAAAAUGGGAGGUUUGAGCUGAUGUGAGCCUUUUUGCGCAGAAGAUAUUCAAAAUCUAGGAAGGAGGAUGACACUGCAAGCGCCCCAGGAGAAGCCGGCUGCUACUUUCCCUGUUUCUUCCCUGCCUUCAGGUUUCCUGCCUUUGCCUUCGUGAUGAAGCACCAUCACUGCUGAUGAUACAGGUGUCUGUCCCCCCACUAGAAGAGUCUACCAGCUCUGGAAAAGUCCUUGCCAACCAGGUGGUGAGUAUUAUAUCAGUUAUCGUCUGGUGAGAUUUGAAGCCAGCCUUGUUCUGUACGCCCAGAGGAUGGGAAGGAUAGAACCUUCACCAUCUCAGCCAUGAUGCUCGGUGCCCAAGUUGGAGGAAAAUAUCGGAUCCCCUUAAGAACUGGUCUGAUACUGACCCAGUGACUGGUGUGUGUUCUAACUAUGAAGAGGAAGGCUAUGGGCUUAUUGUUUUUUAACCAUCUAUUUUUUAAACCAAUCACUAAUUUAUUUGAACAGGUAAUAUACGUACACAGCACAAAAUUCACACGGUAUUCGGUGAAAGGGUGUAGAGUGACAAAUAAGUCUUCCUCCUACACCUUCACGAAGUCCCCUUCCCCAGAGGCAACCACCGUUAUCAGAGUUUAUUUUCGUUCUAAAGAGAGUUAAGGGGCUCAGCCCGAAAAUGGAAUUAGGAAGCUGUGUAAUGUCGUGAUUAGGACUUGGAAUCAGGCCGACCCUGUUCAAAGCCAGGCUGCACCACAUCCUGACCCAGAGCCCAGACACCAGCAGGAUUUAUCCCCUUGGAUUGUUGAGAUAAUUAACUGAGCAAAGCACAGCCCCUGGCACAUAUUUACAUUCAAUAAACAUCAGCUAUUCUAAGCGAUUGGGCGACUGAGCGUGGAGGAGGAGGGUGGAAAGGGAUGGGCGGGGCAUAUUGACUACUCUCUGGGGAAAGCCUUCAGCCUUCGCUACUCUAAGUGUGGUCCCUGGAAAUCCCUGGGAGUUUGUUAGAAAUGCAUGAUCCCAGGCCUUCCCCAGACCUGCCCAAUGAGAAGCUGCUGCCAGACAAGCUCCGCAGGUGAUGUGCAUGUGUGUUACAGUUUGAGAAGCACUGCCCUAUGCAAGCCCAGGAAUCCUUGAGGGAAUGGGCUGUAGAAUCCCUGCCUCUGGGGAGCCAGUGAUGCUGUUUCUCCCCCUUCAGACUAGGAGCCUCUUAGACUUCUCAGGAUGAAAAUUCAGGAGAAAAACACGUUUAAGGGAAAAGCCACUUCCCCUCCCACUCCCCAGCUUUCUAUUCCACAUCCGAUUUCCCAAGCCUGACCACCUGUGACCUCCAAUGCGGCUAGAAUGUGUCCUCUUUUGUCCUGUAGCUUGAUAGCAACCCGAUAGAGGGCUUGGGGGCAGGGUGGCAUGUUGUUUUGAGUGAUACAAGAGACACAGUGGAGCCUGCCCAGCAAGCUGCAGGGCUGCCAGGAUGCCAACUGGGACGCGAAGGUCCUGGCAGUGGGGGGCUGCCCCACUUAGGCUUGUCAUUAGAAACAAGGUCUGCAUGGGGUGAGGGGUGGAAGGCUGGAGGGGCCGGGGGGGUGGUGACAAUCACUGCUGUUUGCCACAUGUUCCAACAAGGAGUAUAUGACAUACAGGAAGCAGCUCUUUCCUUUAAAAUAGCAUUACGUACUAUGAUGGUGGUUACAUGUCAUUAUACAUUUGUCCAAACCCAUUGAAUGUACACCACCAAGAGUGAACCCUAAAGUCAACUGUGUACCAUGUGUCAGUGUAGGUUCAUCGGUUGUAACAAAUGUACCUCUCUGGGUGGGGAAUGUUAACAGUUGGGGAGGGCAGGGGGUCAAUGGGAAAUCUCAAUACCUUCCCCUCAAUUUUGCUGUGAACCUAAAACUGCUCCAAAAAAGAAAUUCUAUGUUUUAGAAAAGAGAGAGAAAAUUACAUCUUGUCACUGGAUCAGCUGUAGAAGAGAAAAGAAAACCGAGGUUGAGGCCUGGGGCAGUGUGCUUUUUAAAAAUCACCAUUACAACAGAAAUAACUUAGAGCUGGGCUCUAAGUCCAGUCCAGAAGACUUUAGCUAUAUGUGGCUACUGGGCACCUGAAGCAUGCGUGGUGCAACUAAGGAACUGAAUUUAAGUUUUUAUUUAACUUUAGUUAAUUUACAUGUAAAAUUUUUAACGCCAUGUGAUUCAAGUUAGGAAAAAAUUUAAGUAGGUUCAGAACAAUUUGGGUAUGUGGAUCUACUCCUUCAACUGUUAAUUUCGUGAACUCUCAAUACAGAUCAUGUAUUUCCAAUAAGUAGUUAGCAUACAAAUUGAGUGUAAAAUACACACCAGAUUUUGAAGACUUAUAACCAAAAAAAAGUAAAA